rnacentral:misc_RNA from 1 species
GUAGGUGAACCUGCGGAAGGAUCAUUAAUGAAAAGGGGUUGUGUGUCACGCAUGCGUGGACCACGCCCAACCACAUCCACACCUGUGAACUGUUUGCCGCUGUGUUUUCGAACACGACGGUCCAUUCAACAACGUCUUAGAAUGUAACAAUCUAUAAACAAUACAACUUUUAGCAACGGAUCUCUUGGCUCUCGCAUCGAUGAAGAACGCAGCAUCUGACUGACUCAGGUCUGUAUUAUCUCGUAUGCCG